CGGUAAGUUUUCCCCUGUUUACAAAUUUUAUUACAUCUUUCCAUAGGAUUCUGUCGGUACCUACUAACUGCAAGGACAAAUUUGGAGAAGCAAAAUGGCAGUUCAACAGAAUCUUACAUCCAUUCUGGUUCUAAAGGAGCCGGCUGAACAGGACCUGGUAUUAAGCCUGAAUUAAGAAGCAGGGACUCCAGUCAAGAAGAAUGUUUGAGAUGGAAGAAGGGUACAAGAGAAACAUUAUAGAAUGUGUAAGAGCAGCAAAAGCAAGUCCUUUAUGUGUCUAGGCUGAACUGCCGCAUGCCACUCAGACACAAGCCAUGACGACCCAACGGUCACUGUCCAACCGACUUUCAGCUGGAUAGGAGAGACGUCGCAGGAGUUUAGUCUUGGAGAUACAGAGCUUUUGGAAGAUUUCAGAGUGAAUAAAGGAGGAUUUUUUUAGCAGAAGAAAGAAGAAGGAGUGAGAGAGAAGAAAGAGAGGAGGAGGAGAUUUAUCAAGAAGAAGAAAAAUGAAUAGCAAGAAAAAGAGAAGAAGAGGCAGUAGCCCAGUGGAUGAUCCAGGAGGUAAGGAGAUGAAACUAUCAGUAUAUUGCUAUAGGAACAUACUCAUAUAACCUUUUACUUUUCUGGUAAAAAAAGCAGAGAUGAGCUUCUUACUGUAUAUUAUAGUAGAACCCCCCAAAGUGGGGAAUAAGUGCAUUAUACAUAAUAUAUUGGUUGGGCCAUAGUAAACUGGUGUAGAAUGAGGGAAAACUUAAAAUCAUGGUAAAAAUCAAUGUAAAAAUGAGGUUUCACAGUAUGUUCUUGGGAUAAUUGUACCUAUAGUAUAUUGCUAUAGGAACAUACUCAUAUAACCUUUUACUUUUCUGGUAAAAAAGCAGAGAUGAGCUUCUUACUGUAUAUUAUAGUAGAAACCUCCAAAGUGGGGAAUAAGUGCAUUAUACAUAGUAUAUUGGUUGGGCCAUAGUAAACUGGUGUAGAAUGAGGGACAACUUAAAAUCAUGGUAAAAAUCAAUGUGAAAAAUAUGG